rnacentral:rRNA from 1 species
UACGUAGGGUGCAAGCGUUAAUCGGAAUUACUGGGCGUAAAGCGUGCGCAGGCGGUUUUGUAAGUCUGUUGUGAAAUCCCCGGGCUUAACCUGGGAAUGGCAAUGGAGACUGCAAGGCUAGAGUUUGGCAGAGGGGGGUAGAAUUCCACGUGUAGCAGUGAAAUGCGUAGAGAUGCGGAGGAACACCGAUGGCGAAGGCAACCCCCUGGGCUGACACUGACGCUCAGGCACGAAAGCGUGGGGAGCAAACAGG